GCCCGAGUGGGGUAGUGGUAACCUCAAGGACUGUGGAUCCUUGGCGGCGGGUUCGAUUCCCGCCUCGGGCCCCA
rnacentral:tRNA from 1 species